AUUGAACGCUGGCGGCAGGCCCAACACAUGCAAGUCGAGCGAGCGGCGGACGGGGGAGUCAUGUCUGUGAAACUGCCUGAGGGAGGGGGCUAACUACUGGAAACGGUAGCUAAUACCGCAUACAAUCAGAUGUGCCCAGAUGGGAUUAGCGAGUGGGUGGGGUAACGGCUCACCUGGGCGGCGAUCCCUAGCCGGUCUGGGAGUAUGACCAGCCCAACUGGAACGGAGACACGGUCCGGACUCCUACGGGAGUCAGCAGUGGGUAAUAUUGCACAGUGGGCGCGAGCCGGCUGCAGCCCUGCCGCGUGUGUGAAGAAGGCCUUCGGGUUGUAAAGCACUUUCAGCGGGGUGGCGUUACCCGCAGAAGAAGCACCGGCUAACUCCGUGCCAGCAGCCGCGGUAAUAC
rnacentral:rRNA from 1 species